GUGCUGGGGGUAGUUGUACUUGAUCCUAUGGGCUUGGGAAGGUCUUGGCAAAUGUGGAAUUUUUCUCCUUUUGCAGAGUGAGUGAUUUCAUUAACAUCCAAAACAGUGGGAGGAGAGCAAGGACAGUGAUUGCUGGAAAGGAGAUGUGACACUACAGUCAUUGAAACAGGAGCAAGGACCCACAGACAUCCACUGCAGCAAGAAUUCCUGAGUCCUCAUUGCUUCCCUGGAUGGCUUGAAAUUAAAAACAGCCCAGGGAAAGAUUUACUAGCUUGGAUCACGUCAGACCUGAACCAGCUCCUUGCCACCAAGUCCAUGGCUUUGGAGAGGUUGGAUUAUAUUUAUAUAUUUAUAUAUUUGGCAACCUUAGGAAUCCAACCCAAUGCUACUGUGGUACCUACAGCUACUCAGCAUGCAUCACCUGGAAAGGAAUAAUGUUGUUGGCAUCCACAAAGGGCUUUGGAGUUAAUUCCUUACAACACAUCAAGUUGGGCUAGAGGUACUAGCGCAAAGUGGGCACCAAAACAGAAUGCACCAGUAUAAAUUACUGCAUAGAAUGCAAAGCAAUGGGAAACCAAACUGGGAAUGCAGGCACACCUUUUCCAGUGAGCACUGUGCUGGGAAAGAGCCAGAGAUAACUCUUUCAAUAGUUUCUUCUAAUUUAAAGAUACAGCCAGGACAGCCAUUCAUGUGAAUAUUCUUCUGUUUCUCUGGACCAUCUGACAGCUUGUCCUUAUCUCUUUGAUACCUCAUUUUUGGGAUGGGAAAUACCACUUGUGGCAUCCUGUCAUAGUGAACAUAACAUAUGCAACACGAUGCUGCUUUGUUGAGUAAUUUGUCCUGGAAAAAAUUGAUUAGUGUUGUUUUAGGUCCUCUUGGAUUCAAGAGUUGCUGAAGAAGCUGACAUUUCCUUCCUGCAAGUGGCCUGGUGACAGAUAUAAUAUUUAAACCAGUCUGCGCAUGCUGUGCAAGGGCCACUGCUCUGUGACUGCUCCUGGCACACAAGAAGUGCAGUGUAGAAGGGGAACAAUGCUGGGUCACAUCCAUCAUCUCCUGGGACCAUGCACGCCACUGGAAUUGCUGUGUCACAGAAAUGCUUCAGAUGUGUUCUGGGGUCUGAAGAACAGGAUGAUAGGGAAAGAGUUAAAAGUGGGAUGCUGAGAUUUUCCUGUGAAAUCAUGGGAUGCUGGGCAAGGCAGAUAACAAGGUGAAAUCAAAAAGAUGUUGUGAUGGUUAAAAGCUCCCUUGAAUAUGGGACACUGCUGGCAGCCAUGCCAUAUUUUGCUUCUAGCAAAAAAAGUGACCUCCUGGAUACAGAAAUCAUAUCUCACAGGCUGGGGACCAGGUCCUGGAGGCAUUGUGAUGGAGGUGCCAUUAACUGAGAUGCCUCAUAGCAAUGCCUGCACCAGCUCUCAAGCUAAGUUCACAGGGGACAGAGGCCCACAUCUGACAACCUGACCUGCUGUCUAGGGACAUUUGCUGCUUGACGGGUUCUCAGAUCAGGGACUUUGUAGAGAGAUUGACGAGGCUUGUUCAGCUCUAUUUCCUUCAGCUGUUUUUCCGUGUAAGCAACAACAAUAUGGUCACGGGGACUUGGGCUUCUACAAGUACCUCAGCAAUAAAAUGAAGAAUAGAGAAAAUGGCAAAGGACACAGAAAAGGGUAAGGUACUCAAUAUUCUUCAUCUCCAUCUUUACUGGUAACAUCAGCCUGCCGAAAUACUGAGACCCUGAGAAGGGAAGGGAAGUCUGGAGCAAAGAAGACAAUGUCAGUGGAGGAAGAACAGCUAAAUCAAUCAGACACAAGUUCAUAGAGCCUGAUGGGAUGCACCCAUGAGUACUAAGGGAGCUGGCUGGUGUCAUUGUAAGGUGUCACUGUGUUUCCACCCCUGGAGAUGCUCAAACUCUGACUGCACAGCCUUGAGUGACCAGCUCUACAGGCUGCUGCUUUGACCAGGAGGGUUGGUCUUCAUGAUCUCCAAAUGUUUGUUCUAAUUUCAACUUUUUUUUUUUUUUUUUGUGAUUCUGUGUUAUGGUUAAAACCAGAAAGGACCUUGUCGCUCCUUCCUGUCCCAGCAAUCAUUAAACCAUUACAGCAGCUUGGAAUCGAGCGCACUCAGUUUUCCCUGAAGUCUACAAGUCCUGGCUUCUCUAUAGCACCUCAGUUGUCUCCUCCUAUGAGGAAUCCUAAGAAAGAAGAGUUUCAGUUCCUGGCUGCUGCAUUUGGAAAAAAA